UACGUAGGGUGCGAGCGUUUGUCCGGAAUUAUUGGGCGUAAAGAGCUUGUAGGUGGCUCGUCGCGUCGGGAGUGAAAACCCGCGGCUUAACCGCGGGCCUGCUUUCGAUACGGGCGGGCUAGAGUUCGGCAGGGGAGACUGGAAUUCCUGGUGUAGCGGUGGAAUGCGCAGAUAUCAGGAGGAACACCGGUGGCGAAGGCGGGUCUCUGGGCCGAUACUGACACUGAGAAGCGAAAGCGUGGGGAGCGAACAGG
rnacentral:rRNA from 1 species